GACGAACGCUGGCAGCGUGCUUAACACAUGCAAGUCGAACGAUGAAGCCGGAGCUUGCUCCGGUGGAUUAGUGGCGAACGGGUGAGUAACACGUGAGCAAUCUGCCCUUGACUCUGGGAUAACUGCGGGAAACUGUAGCUAAUACCGGAUACGACACCUUGGGGCAUCCCAGGGUGUGGAAAGAAUUUCGGUCAAGGAUGAGCUCGCGGCCUAUCAGCUAGUUGGUGAGGUAAUGGCUCACCAAGGCGACGACGGGUAGCCGGCCUGAGAGGGUGACUGGCCACACUGGAACUGAGACACGGUCCAGACUCCUACGGGAGGCAGCAGUGGGGAAUAUUGCACAAUGGGCGAAAGCCUGAUGCAGCAACGCCGCGUGAGGGAUGAAGGCCUUCGGGUUGUAAACCUCUUUUAGCAGGGAAGAAGCGAAAGUGACGGUACCUGCAGAAAAAGCACCGGCUAACUACGUGCCAGCCGCCGCAGUAA
rnacentral:rRNA from 1 species